GUCCAUUUCGAAGACAUCCAAAACUUUGGAAUGAUAUGGACAAAAUUAGCAUGUCUCGUGCAUAAUAUGACAUGAAUAAAUUGAGAAAUAUACUAUUUUUAG